rnacentral:rRNA from 1 species
AUUGAACGAGGGAGGAAGGGAGAACAAAGGCAAGUCGAGCGGAUGAAGGGAGCUUGCUCCUGGAUUCAGCGGCGGACGGGUGAGUAAUGCCUAGGAAUCUGCCUGGUAGUGGGGGAUAACGUCCGGAAACGGGCGCUAAUACCGCAUACGUCCUGAGGGAGAAAGUGGGGGAUCUUCGGACCUCACGCUAUCAGAUGAGCCUAGGUCGGAUUAGCUAGUUGGUGAGGUAAAGGCCUACCAAGGCGACGAUCCGUAACUGGUCUGAGAGGAUGAUCAGUCACACUGGAACUGAGACACGGUCCAGACUCCUACGGGAGGCAGCAGUGGGGAAUAUUGGACAAUGGGCGAAAGCCUGAUCCAGCCAUGCCGCGUGUGUGAAGAAGGUCUUCGGAUUGUAAAGCACUGUAAGUUGGGAGGAAGGGCAGUAAGUUAAUACCUUGCUGUUUUGACGUUACCAACAGAAUAAGCACCGGCUACCUUCGUG